CCUACGGGCGGCAGCAGUGGGGAAUAUUGGACAAUGGGCGAAAGCCUGAUCCAGCCAUGCCGCGUGUGUGGAGAAGGCCUUCGGGUUGUAAAGCACUUUCAGUGGGGAAGAAAGCCUUGGGGCUAAUACCCUCGAGGAAGGACAUCACCCACAGAAGAAGCACCGGCUAACUCCGUGCCAGCAGCCGCGGUAAUACGGAGGGUGCGAGCGUUAAUCGGAAUUACUGGGCGUAAAGCGCGCGUAGGCGGUCUGAUAAGCCGGUUGUGAAAGCCCCGGGCUCAACCUGGGAACGGCAUCCGGAACUGUCAGGCUAGAGUGCAGGAGAGGAAGGUAGAAUUCCCGGUGUAGCGGUGAAAUGCGUAGAGAUCGGGAGGAAUACCAGUGGCGAAGGCGGCCUUCUGGACUGACACUGACGCUGAGGUGCGAAAGCGUGGGUAGCAAACAGGAUUAGAUACCCUAGUAGUC
rnacentral:rRNA from 1 species